rnacentral:rRNA from 1 species
UACGAAGGGUGCAAGCGUUACUCGGAAUUACUGGGCGUAAAGCGCGCGUAGGUGGUUUGUUAAGUCUGAUGUGAAAGCCCUGGGCUCAACCUGGGAAUUGCACUGGAUACUGGCGGGCUAGAGUGCGGUAGAGGAUGGCGGAAUUCCCGGUGUAGCAGUGAAAUGCGUAGAGAUCGGGAGGAACAUCCGUGGCGAAGGCGGCCAUCUGGACCAGCACUGACACUGAGGCACGAAAGCGUGGGGAGCAAACAGG